rnacentral:rRNA from 1 species
UCUGUUUGGAGAUAUAGAAAGUCUGGCCUGCCCACUGAAUUUUAAAGGGCCGCGGUAAUUUGACCGUGCAAAGGUAGCAUAAUCGUUAGUUUUUUAAUUGGAAUCUUGUAUGAAUGGUUGAACAAAAGAAUAACUGUCUCUUUUUUUUAUUUGAAUUAACUCUUAAGUGAAAAGGCUUAAAUGUUUUAAAAAGACGAUAAGACCCUAUAAAGCUUAAUAAACUCUAUUAUUAAGUUGAAUUUGAUUUGUAAGGUAUAAAAAUUUAGUAUUAAAAGUUUAUUUUGUUGGGGCGACAAUGAUAAAAUGUUUAUUAACUGUUUAAUGUACAGACAAAGAUUGUUGGUUAAAGUGUAAAUGAUCCUUUAUAAAGAUUAAAAGUUUAAGUUACUUUAGGGAUAACAGCGUUAUUUUUCUUAAGAGUUCAUAUCGAAAGAAAGUUUGCGACCUCGAUGUUGAAUUAAAAUUUCUAUAUAAUUGCAGAAGUUAUAGUAGAAGGUCUGUUCGACCUUUAAAUUUUU